rnacentral:misc_RNA from 1 species
AGCACAGACCUAUCCAAAUGGAGAUGUAAUUUGAGAACUAGAAUUAAGGGUAUCACCUUAUUUCAACUGAUCUACUGAGAACAUCAUAAAGUUUUAACAUAAUAUCUAUCCAUCUCAUCCAUAAAAAAUGAACGCCAUACAUAUUUUCAAACAAGAAACUAAUUAAAAUAAAAGAAGAGAACCUAUUUACAAAGGCCUUGAUCUUCACUAGCUAACAUUUGCUGCUCUGCAAACCUUAACAAAGGAAAUAUAUUGAAAGAAAUAACACCCCAGUGAGAGACGUUUAGAGAAUUACAACUCACUUGUGAUCAGUUCAUAUACUUACAUUCAGGACAUACAAGGUCAUUUAGAACUUUACUUUUCUCUACAAGCAGAGGAAGUUCAUGUACAGACUUCUAGCACAUAUAUCCUAUGAGGAUUGAAUUGCUCAUUUGAUCCCUAUAACCUGCAUUUCUUCAACAUCAUUAGUGUGACAAGGGUCAUUUGUAGGAAUAAUGAAAAGACUUCACCUCUUUGCCCUAAAAGGCUAAUACUAAUAUCUCAUUCUCUCCCUUUCUCUCUCCUGUCAUGUGCAUGUGCAUCUAUGUGCUUGUGUGCAUCUGUAUUACAAAGACACCUCACUAAACAUUGGGGAUUUGAAGAUGUGCCUUCGAUUAUUAGAUAUUAGUGUAGACUGAUGGAGUGAUUCAAAUUUCCUAGCACAUCAAUGCACGGUAAAAGACAACAGCUAAAAAAAUUACCCAGAAAAAGGAGGGAAACAGGAGAAAAUGGCAGCACUCUGUACACUGACCUGGAGGUUUAGCAAUUGUCAAUUUUGCUGGCUAAUUGUUGAAGGAGUUCUUUCUUUGGGAGCUUAUAAUACUUUCUUAGUUUGUAUCUCUUUGCAAUGUCCCGCAGUUCAGCUAAUUUCAUUUUCUCCAAGAUUGAAGCUGAAGGCAUUGAAGCCACAGUCACUGAGCUGGAAUCAUGAAUUAAGCAGGACUCAGCGACUGACUGGUCAUCCUUAUUUAAACCGUCAGUAGUGUCUCUUUGUGAAUCAGAGAAGUCCAUUUGAACAGUAAAAUCUUUAGCCUCUGCAAUGAUUGGAAAAUUUGUAGUCCUCUUCCUUUUAUUCUGUGGCUGUGAAACUGAAUUUGGACUGUCAUCAGGAUAAGCACUAUUCUCUUUCGAUUCACACUCACCAAGCUGAAGUACUAUCUUUGUGGUCUUUUGAUGCUCAUUUAAACUGGCAUUUAGUGGACCCAACCCAGAUUUUUGUUGCUUCUUGCCUUCAGAAACAAAAGAUGAACUUGAAUCAACUGACAUAGUAGUAAAACCAAUUUCUUGUAUAAUUGGUGUAUUCUGCUUGAUAAUCUUCUUUGCCUUUUCUUCCUGAAAAUCGUGGGAUAAGUCCAAGUUGAAUUUUUUCUCAUCUGCACCAAUUUCACUCAUUUUAAAUUCAAGCAUAUCUUCUCCUUCCUCUUUAGGCAGUAACUUGAUUGCAUUUGUCCCUUUCUUAUCCUGCAGCUCUAAAAGUGAGGUCAAGGCACAAUUUUCUGUCUCAGUCAGAGCAGCUUCAACAACCUUCACAAUUUGUGGAGGAUUUUUCUCCUUUCCCUGUGUCUUUAGUGGAGAAUCCACAAUCUCAGCCGCAGCAACCUUUAAUUCUUUCACGGUCUGCUUGCAUGCAGCUUUCAGAGACAAAUCAGAGAGUUUUUGCUCUAUGUCAGGGUUACUACAAGUGCCUAAUCCAGAAUCAGCAUUUCCUAUUCUCCCAUGAAGGCCAGUUGCACAUCUCAAUUCUUUUGCACUUACAUUUUUUACAACAGUACCUGCAAACUGCUCAAAGAGAAAUGUGUUAUGAGCAAAUUCAGAGGCAGGGAAAAAUGAAAUUGAAACAUGUGGUACAGACAUUUACUCGUCAGCACUUCCACUAUAGCAAAGUGCAUUGAAACCAUAGAUUUUUUAUGUACUUAUGUACUAUAUCAUAUAUAUCAACAUAUUAAUAGCAAACAAUAUAAAAAAUAAAUACUUCAAACCUUAUAUUUUCUUGGAUGAUUUCCUUUGCCUUCAGGAUUCAAAGAUGAAAUCAAAAUUUUGCUUUUGCCUGUAGCCCUAGAACAGUAUUCCUCAUUUCCAGAUACUUUUAUAUUAGAGUAGCACAAAAUUUUCAUCUCAUUGGAGUCUGCAGUUGUGUGCCUACUAUCAUUUAAGCCUAAAUCCUUAACAGCAGCAUUUGCAUGCUGUUCAUUGCCAGAGGAAAGAACCAAAAACAAAAAGUUAGGAUCAGCUGCAACAACUCUAGGUCGAGAUAAGUCAGACUAGGACCACCUGAUUCAAUUGCAUGCGGUAUGAAAAUCACUUGACCUACAGGUUCAACCCAUGUUGUCUUCCCUAGAUUUCUGAGCUCUUCAAUGUAUGAUCAUAUUGACUAUGUACUGAUGCACAUUAAAUACUUGCUUAAUUUAAAGCAGAUGUGAAAGCUACUGGUACCUUGACCAUUUUACUAGGAUCUGUUUUCUUCACCACAGACUUCAGGGAUGAGCCUAAGAUUACAUCAUCUGUAGAGAUAGAAUUAAGUUCUUCAACCUCCUCACUUACAAUUAUUGAAUCUGAAUUGCUCAAUUUUUUCUUCUUAGAAGAAUUGCCAACUGGAUGUCCUGAAGCACCGGAAAUGGAAUUGCUAACACCAACAUUUGUAGACUGAAGUUUAGUCAUUUCGACAUAGCAUCUCCCCUCAUCUGCGGACUUUGAGGAUGAAAUUUUUAUCAUUCUACUGCCUUUUGGAUUAAAACCAUGUUCUCUACUUUCACCCUUCCUUGUAUUUUUUGGACCAUAGUAGCUUGAUAAUAUCUCAUCAGAUUGAACAGCUGCCAAUUUCAUUGAAUGAGAGUUGGAAUCUUUGACACCAGCAUUUGCAGGCUUAACAGUUUUAGGAUUGUUAGUUUUCUUCUCUUCAAGCUUCAAACAUGGAUUUAAAAUUGCAGCAUGUUCUGUUGUAGAGCUUGAUUUCCUCAUUUCUUCCCUCAUAAUAAAUUCUGAGCUAUAAUCACCCAAUGUUUUGUUCUCAUCCACAAUGUUGAUUGUUUCUCUUGGAACAACAGAACUUGAGUUUAAGAUAGUAGCAUCCUUAACUUCCUUAGGCUGCUCAUCUUUCUUGUAGAAGUAAUUGACAAGUAAAGCCUUCAAUAUUUCAUGUAGUGUUUCAACCGGUUGUGUAUGCAUCAAUAAGUGAACCUCAACAUCAUUCUUGUCCUUAUUCCUCAAACUCUUAACCGAAAUGUCAAGGCAACUUAUCUUUUCUUUCAAAGCAUUAGAGCAUAUUUGGGACCACUCCUCAUUUUCUACCCAGGCCAAUUCACUUUGCAAGGAUAUCAAAUCUUGUUCAAGUUUAUCGAUUUCAGUAUCUGCUUUUCUUAUCAAGAUCCUCAACACUCGUAUGCAGUAUCUCUCAUUCAAAGCAUCCUCUUCAAUCUCAUCAAACCCACAACCAAAGCAAAAGUCACACUCCCAUUCAGGUUGCAUAGAAGAAUUGCUUUCUGGAUUGUCAGGAGGACCCCAUAGAUCCUUGUCCAUGAAGCUCUAAUAUAUAUGUAUCCAGAACCAAAUUACAGAACUACUCAACCAUUCAUCAAAAUUGGCUUCCAAACAGAGUCCAGAGUAUAAACAAGAAAAGAAUAUAUGAAAAUGCUUUUGCUCAAUCGAAGCGCGCCAAAAAAAGAAAAUGCAACUUUCUCGCCAACCAAACAGGAAC